rnacentral:rRNA from 1 species
UACGGAGGAUCCAAGCGUUAUCCGGAAUCAUUGGGUUUAAAGGGUCCGUAGGCGGUUUUGUAAGUCAGGGGUGAAAGCCCAUCGCUCAACGGUGGAACGGCCAUUGAUACUGCAAGACUUGAAUUAUUGGGAAGUAACUAGAAUAUGUAGUGUAGCGGUGAAAUGCUUAGAGAUUACAUGGAAUACCAAUUGCGAAGGCAGGUUACUACCAAUAUAUUGACGCUGAUGGACGAAAGCGUGGGGAGCGAACAGG